rnacentral:lncRNA from 1 species
UACAUGAAGAACUCUUGAAGACAGGAGCUGCAGAGCUGGCCCCACAGCACCAGAGAUGUCACAGAAGAGCAGAAUUCCAGCCCUCCAUGGCACAUGGGCUACAUCUGCACUAUUUUGUUCAGAGCUCCAAGAAGCAGGUGCAUUGGGAUUUUCACCAAAGAACGAAAGGAAUAAACCCAUCUCCCUAUUUUUAACCCCCCAGAAGAAGCCUUAUUCUCUCCUUUCUGGAAUGUCAGGACCAGUGUCAUUUUGUCCAGGCUGCAUUGACCUCUUUGCUGGACCCUGGGCAUAGGGAGCCCUUGCUGCUUCUCCACCCACCAGUGCUGAGCUCCUGGGGUGUUUGCCUUGCAGGUCCAAGGUGAGAAUAUAAACACUGCAAUUCCUCUGAAAACUGGCUGGAACCUCCUCCAGGGAGGAAGGGUUGCUCAUGGGCUGGCCAAGCUCCCAAACAUCAUACACAGCAACCCGGAGCUCCAACUUAACACAGCUUGGGGCAGGUCCUCAAAUGACCUUCCAUUUCUUGUCUCCCCAUCUGAGAGGACCAUUCCAUUCCAAACAACAUUCCUUUGAUAAAAGUGGUUACACACUGUAAACAUCAAUGAGCCAGGAACAUUCUCCGGUGCAACAGGAUUCUGAUAAAGCAGUCCUAUUUUGCAAAACCUUCCAGUGUGAAACAUCCUCCCCACAGCAAGCAGGGAAAUUCCUGGGAUGCCACAACAUUGGGCAGAGUGUCCAGGGCCCCAGGGAAGGAGCAGAAAGUCUAGAGGUGGAGCUCCCAUUGUGGGCAGAGGGACCUGAGUUUUCAAUCAUCUGUUCAUCAGGUUUCCACAUGACUGCAAAGCUCCCCUGACUUUCAAAAAGCAGCAAUGAUUUCCUCUUCUCACACAGUCCAGGUUGACAGUCGGGUGCAAUAUCCACACGCUUCUCUACCUCACUCCCUCUGUGAGUCUGGAUGUGUUCUUCUUCCUCUCCAGCCCCCUGGGCCCUCAUUCUGUUGGCUUUUCUGUUGUCGCUCUCUGUUUGCAGGUAUCUCUUCUUGAGUCUGUUUCUGGGUCUCUCAGUCUCUAUUCUUCAAGUCUCCCUUUGUGUCACCAAGUGCUUCCCAGCCUAGUCACUCGUCUACCUCUCCAUCAGUCUGCCUUACUUCCAAUCAAUUCAUCCCCAUUUUUUUCUCCUUCCCUCUUCUGUUUCUUCUCCCUAAGUGACUGUUGAUACAGAAUUAGAUACAUUUUUCUUAGGUUUGUGGAAUAGACUUUCACAUUCUCUGGUGUUUAGUUCUAAAAUUGAUUGAAAAAUGUUUGUAUUCUUUAGUGUUGUCUGAAUUUCUUAUAAGAGUAUGUGUAA